rnacentral:lncRNA from 1 species
CGGGCAUAACGUCAAAAAUAUGCCUUCCUACUCAGAUGAAUUAGUUCUGUAGGUGUGGAGAAAAUUUUGGAUCUGGACCAAAUUUUAGUAUUAAAAAUAUUUUUUUUUUAAUAAACUCAACAAACUAUUUUUACGGUGUGUAUUGAAGUAUAAAAUCGUACUUUAAUCUCAAUCUUAGCACAAGUUCUGCCGGGUGAAUUCCGUUUGUGAGCGUUUGGCGAUUUUACAAUAUGAUAAAUCCCUUAUUUGUUUUUUAUUAGUAUACUUAUUCUGAAAAAAGAGUGUUCUACAUGACCAAAAAUAGGCGAUAGAAAAAUUUAAAAAGAUACACAAUUUAUUUUGAGUUUUUAUGUCCCAACACCUUUUCUAAAAAUAAAAAAAAUAAAUUCACAAAUACUGAUACAAAAUAUAUAGUUAAUCAUAAUGAUGACAUGAUAAAGCUAAAAUUGAAAAUGGUUAAACACAGGGUAAAGGGUUCUGCGAAACCGUAUUCCUCGCCUGAUAUUGCUGCUGUCAGUAUAAAAAUAUAAUAUUG